AUUGAACGCUGGCGGCAGGCUUAACACAUGCAAGUCGAGCGGGGUGAUGGUGCUUGCACUAUCACUUAGCGGCGGACGGGUGAGUAAUGCUUAGGAAUCUGCCUAUUAGUGGGGGACAACAUCUCGAAAGGGAUGCUAAUACCGCAUACGUCCUACGGGAGAAAGCAGGGGAUCACUUGUGACCUUGCGCUAAUAGAUGAGCCUAAGUCGGAUUAGCUAGUUGGUGGGGUAAAGGCCUACCAAGGCGACGAUCUGUAGCGGGUCUGAGAGGAUGGUCCGACAGCCUGGGACUGGGACACGGCCCAGACUCCUACGGGAGGCAGCAGUGGGGAAUAUUGGACAAUGGGGGGAACCCUGAUCCAGCCAUGCCGCGUGUGUGAAGAAGGCCUUAUGGUUGUAAAGCACUUUAAGCGAGGAGGAGGCUCUUUUGGUUAAUACCCAAGAUGAGUGGACGUUACUCGCAGAAUAAGCACCGGCUAACUCUGUGCCAGCAGCCGCCGUAA
rnacentral:rRNA from 1 species